CACCUACACAGGCCACUCAUGGUAUUGAGAGGUGCCUUAGCAACAGAUAAUCAUUAUUAUACCUUUUCUUAAAUUUGACAAACAGGCACUCCAGCAUCAGUCCCAUAAAACCUGGACUUACUACAGUAUCUACCUAGGAAGCACCAAAUAGCAUCUUGCACUGAUACCACGCUCUUAGAAGAGUCCAGCUGCUGGACGCAACCUGCAGAGGGACCGUAGAGAAGAUAAGGCUGGAGUGGGAAAGGAAGAAGAGGGAGUGAGGGUUUGGAACGGGAUGGUGCUGGAGGCAAUUAGGUAAUAACUUACCUGAGGACAACUUGAACCCAGAGCACUGUCUUUCAGAAGUCUACCAGCAUUACAGAAAACGCCUCUCUAAUUUUGGCCGUGGCUCCAACAGUAACUCAGAAAGAAGGCAAGACACUGGACAAGUAGCUGCAGCGCUCUUAGAGGUCACUGUGGAGGUGAGGAAGGCACAGCAGAGUGGAAAGGGCCCAAGCUUUGCCAACAGUAGAACCUGGACUUCAGCCUUCUCU
rnacentral:lncRNA from 1 species